UGCAGUCGACGGUAACAGGAAGCAGCUUGCUGCUUUGCUGACGAGUGGCGGACGGGUGAGUAAUGUCUGGGAAACUGCCUGAUGGAGGGGGAUAACUACUGGAAACGGUAGCUAAUACCGCAUAACGUCGCAAGACCAAAGAGGGGGACCUUCGGGCCUCUUGCCAUCGGAUGUGCCCAGAUGGGAUUAGCUAGUAGGUGGGGUAACGGCUCACCUAGGCGACGAUCCCUAGCUGGUCUGAGAGGAUGACCAGCCACACUGGAACUGAGACACGGUCCAGACUCCUACGGGAGGCAGCAGUGGGGAAUAUUGCACAAUGGGCGCAAGCCUGAUGCAGCCAUGCCGCGUGUAUGAAGAAGGCCUUCGGGUUGUAAAGUACUUUCAGCGGGGAGGAAGGGAGUAAAGUUAAUACCUUUGCUCAUUGACGUUACCCGCAGAAGAAGCACCGGCUAACUCCGUGCCAGCAGCCGCGGUAAUACGGAGGGUGCAAGCGUUAAUCGGAAUUACUGGGCGUAAAGCGCACGCAGGCGGUUUGUUAAGUCAGAUGUGAAAUCCCCGGGCUCAACCUGGGAACUGCAUCUGAUACUGGCAAGCUUGAGUCUCGUAGAGGGGGGUAGAAUUCCAGGUGUAGCGGUGAAAUGCGUAGAGAUCUGGAGGAAUACCGGUGGCGAAGGCGGCCCCCUGGACGAAGACUGACGCUCAGGUGCGAAAGCGUGGGGAGCAAACAGGAUUAGAUACCCUG
rnacentral:rRNA from 1 species